rnacentral:rRNA from 1 species
UAAAAACUUUAAUGUUUUAUAGUGAAGAGUACUGUGAAGGAAAGCUUAAUUUUUUUGAAAAUUUAUUUUUAAAUUUAAUGUUUAUAACCUGCUAAUGCUUAAUAAAAAACAAAGUAAUAGCGUACCUUUUGCAUUAUGGGUCAAUGAGUUUAUUCAAGUAGCGUGCUUAAGAAUUUAUAUUCGUAGGCUAAAAUAAAUUAAGUUUUAAAAUGCUUUGAUUAGUUACUGGAAAAUAACCCGAAAUUAAGUGAUCUAACCAUAAACAGAUUGAAUAUAAAUUUUUAUAGAAGGAUCGAACUCGUGUAUGUUGCAAAAUACUGAGAUGAUUUGUGGUUUGGAGUGAAAGGCUAAUCAAACUUAAACAUAGCUGGUUUUCUGCGAAAUCUAUUUAAGUAGGUCGUUAAGAAAUUUAUUUUUAGGGGUAAAGAACUUUUUAAGUAAUGGGGAUUUAGUUUCUUACUGCACUUAUUAAAACUUUGAAUACUAAGCUUAUUAUUUUUAACAGUCAGACUAUAAAUGCUAAGAUUUGUAGUCAAAAGGGAAACAGCCCAGAUUAAUAAUUAAGGUCUUAAAAAAUAAUUUUAUUAAAAAUAAUAUAAAACUCCUAUAAAUAGUAUGUAAGCUUAGAACCAGCUAUCAUUUAAAGACUACGUAAUAGUUCACUGUUUUAGUUUUGUAUUUUUGAAAAUUUAUAGUAUAAAUUAUUUACCGAAAUUUUAAAUUUUUAAAUUUUAAAAAUGGUAGCAGAACGUUCUGUACUAAAAAACAUGGUAACAUAAAAAAAUCAGAAUUGUAUAUAUUGACAUGAGUAGCGAAUUUAUAAUGUAAAAUCAUUAUUAUCUUAAGUCUAAAGUUUCCAAAACAAUAUUAAACAAUUUUGGUCAAAUUAUUCGGUCUCUAAGAAGUUAAACGAAAGUUUAAUUUGAUGGGUAAAAGUUUUAAUUACUUUAUUCAAAUUUAGUGACAAAAUAUAAAAUUUACUUUUAUUUGAGAUGAUACAAAAAAAUAAAAUUAGUAUUUUCAAGAAAUAGCUAAAUAAAUCCAAAACCGUACUACAAACCGACACAGGUGGACAAGUUGAGUAAACUAAGAUAUAGGAUUAACUACGUUGAAGGAACUCGGCAAAUUGACUCUGUAUCUUUGUGAAGAAAGAGUGACUAUUCUUGUAAAUAGUCGAUAUAAAAUCGAGAACAGCGACUGUUUACUAAAAACAUAGGUUUUUGCAAAUUUGUAAAAAGUUGAAUAAAAGCUGACACCUGCCCAGUGCAAAUAAAAUAAAAAAUAACUGUUGUAUUUAGCUUUUGUUAUAAUUUUUUGUAAACGGCGGCUGUAACUCUGACGGUCCUAAGGUAGCGAAAUUCCUUGGCAUUUAAUUGGUGUCCCGCAUGAAAGGUGUAACGACUGUUCUACUGUCUCCAACGUAUUUCUUGUGAAAUUGAAUUUUUUGUGAAAAUGCAGAAUAUUUUUGGCUAGACGGAAAGACCCUGUAAACCUUUACUAUAACCAUAAAAUGUUAAAAAAACUUUUAUGAAAAGAAUAAAUGGUAGUCGUUUGUAUAUUUUUAUAAAUGUUAAAAAUAAAGACCCUCUUUGAAAUACCAUUCUUAAGACUUUUUUGGUGCUAAUUAAAUUUAAAAUUAAAAAAUUUUAUGGUUGGUAGUUUGACUGGGGCGGUGGUCUCCUAAAAAGUAACGGAGACGCAUAAAGGUAGAUUUUUAGCAAAAUUUACAAAGCUAAUAGAUACAAUAGUUAAAAUCUGCUUAACUGAGAGAUAAACAAAUCGAUCAGAAACGGAAGUUGAUUAUAGUGAUCUGGUAAUUUUUUGUAGUAAAAUUACCACUUAACGAAUAAAAGGUACUUCAGGGAUAACAGCCUAAUCAUUUUUUAGAGACCUUAUCGACAAAAUGGUUUGGGACCUCGAUGUUGGAUUAACACAACCUGGGACUGCAAAAGGUCCCAAGGGUUUGACUGUUCGUCAAGUAAUGUGUUACAUGAUCUGAGUUUAGAACGUUGUAAAACAGUUUGGACCCUAUCUACCAUAAUGUUUAUAAAUCGAGGGGAGCAAAUUCUAGUACGAGAGGACCGAAAAAUGUGGAUCUAUGGUGACCGAUUGUUAAAUCAUUUGCAAGUUGGAUAGCUAAAUUCAUAAAAAAUAAUCACAGCUCGUGAGAAAUUAACCCCAAAAAUUUUUAUAUUAAAAAAUUAUAGGAGACUACUAUAAAAAUAGGUUUAAAGUGUAAAAAUUGUAAAAUUUUAGCUAAUAAAUACUAA